CUUUGAGGCUGGAGCUGGCCGGUCCCGGACCGGAAAGAAGGAUUUAAAAGGGAACCGGUUUGGACAGUUCUGAAGAUUGACAUUUUGGGACUCAGAACACAGGUGGUAAAAUAAAGAUACCAUCAAGAACUGGACUCUAUUUAAAGUCUUCCAUCACUAAUUCAAAGUUCAGACUCACAGUCUACAUGCUCUGAGAAACUAGAAGCCAAGGAAUUAACCUGAAGUUCACCCAGAAGACCUGUCUGAAAUGUGGUGGUUUCAGCAAGGCCUUAGCUUCCUUCCGUCGGCCCUUGUAAUUUGGACAUUUGCUACCUUUAUAUUCUCAUAUAUCACUGCAAUAACACUCCACCAUGUUGACCCUGCAUUGCCUUACAUCAGCGACACUGGGACAAUGCCUCCUGAAAGGUGCCUCUUUGGAGUAAUGCUGAAUAUCGCUGCCGUUUUAGGCAUUGCUACUAUCUAUGUUCGUUACAAGCAAGUUCAUGCACUGAACCCUGAAGAGAACCUUAUCAUCAAAUUAAACAAGGCUGGCCUUGUACUUGGGAUACUGAGUUGUUUAGGACUUUCUCUUGUGGCAAAUUUCCAGAAAUCAGCACUAUUUAUUGUUCAUGUAUGUGGAGCUGUCCUUGCCUUUAGUAUGGGCUCAUUUUACAUGUUUGUUCAGACCAUCCUUUCCUACCAAAUGCAGCCCAAAAUUCACAGCAAACAAGUCUUCUGGGUCCGACUACUAUUGGUUAUCUGGUGUGGAGUAAGUGCACUUAGCAUGAUGACUUGCUCAUCAAUUUUGUACAGUAGUGACUUUGGUGCUGAUAUAGUACAGAAACUACACUGGAACCCAGAGGACAAAGGUUAUGUGCUUCACAUAGUUACUACUGCAGCAGAAUGGUCUAUGUCAUUUUCCUUCUUUGGAUUUUUCCUGACUUAUAUUCG
rnacentral:lncRNA from 1 species